rnacentral:rRNA from 1 species
UUUUCCGGUUGAUCCCGCCGGACCCCACUGCUAUCGGGAUAGGACUAAGACAUGCUAGUCAAGCACUCUUUAGCCAUGAUAAGAGCGCGGCGCACAGCUCAGUAACACGUGGCUAACCUGCCCUCGGGACGGGAAUACCCCCGGGAAACUGGGGCUAAUCCCCGAUAGGUGAAGAACUCUGGAAUGAGUCUCCGCCCAAAAGACGCUUAAAUCAUGCUUUUAGGCGCCGCCCAAGGAUGGGGCCGCGACCGAUCAGGUAGUUGGUGAGGCAACGGCUCACCAAGCCUUUAACCGGUGCGGGCCGUGGGAGCGGGAGCCCGGAGAUGGGCACUGAGACAAGGGCCCAGGCCCUACGGGGCGCAGCAGUCGCGAAAACUUUGCAAUACACGAAAGUGUGACAGGGCUAUCCCGAGUGCCAUCCGCUGAGGAAGGCUUUUACCCAGUCUAGAAAGCUGGGAGAAUAAGGAGAGAGCAAGUCUGGUGUCAGCCGCCGCGGUAAUACCAGCUCUCCGAGUGGUGUGGAUGUUUAUUGGGCCUAAAGCAUCCGUAGCUGGCCAAGUUAGUCCCCUGUUAAAUCCACCGAAUUAAUCGUUGGAGUGCGGGGGAUACUGCUCGGCUAGGGGACGAGAGAGGCCGACGGUAUUUUCGGGGUAGGGGUGAAAUCCUAUAAUCCCGGGAAGACCACCAGUGGCGAAGGCUGUCGGCUAGAACGUGCUCGACGGUGAGGGAUGAAAGCUGGGGGAGCGAACCGGAUUAGAUACCCGGGUAGUCCCAGCUGUAAACGAUGCAGGCUAAGUGUUUGGGCGGCCACGUGCCGCUCUAGUGCCGCAGGGAAGCUGUUAAGCCUGCCGCCUGGGGAGUACGGCCGCAAGGCUGAAACUUAAAGGAAUUGGCGGGGGAGCACCACAAGGGGUGAAGCUUGCGGUUUAAUUGGAUUCAACGCCGGAAAUCACUAGU